GAUUGCAGGGAGCCAGGGCUGUCAGGAAAAAAACACCGAAGGCGUUUGGGGAGGAACAGAGGAAGUGACAGCGGCAGCAGCGGGAGAGCAGAAGAGGGAAAGGGAGAAAGGAGAGAGGAAAAGGGAGGGGGGGAGAGGAGGAGAGGGAAAGGGAGGGGGGAAAGGAAAGGGAGAAAGGAGGAGGGAGAGAGAGAAAGGAGAGGGGAAAGGGAGAAAGGAGAGAGGGAAAGGGGGAGGAGAGGAGAGGGAAAGGGAGGGGGGAAGGAAAGGGAGAAAGGAGAGAGAGAAAGGAGGAAAGGGAGAAGAGAGGAGGGGAGAGGAGAAGGGAGAAAGGAGAGAGGAAGGGGAGAGGAGAGGAAGAGGGGAGACGGGAGGAGAGGGAAGGGGAGAAAGGAGGAGAGGGAAGGGGAGAAAGGAGGAGAGGGCGAGAGGGAAAGAGAAAGGAGGAGGGGAGAGGGAAAGGGAGAAAGGAAAGAGGGAAAGGGGGAGGAGAGGAAGAGAGGAGGAGAAGGAAAGGGAGAAAGGAGGGACAGAGAGAAAGGAGGAAAGGGAAAGGGAGAAAGGAGAAGAGGAAAAGGGAGAAAGGAGAGAGGGAAAGCAGGAGGACAGGAAGAGAGGGAAAGGGAAGGGGGGAAGAAAGAGAAAGCAGGAGAGACAGAGAGAAAGGAGGAGAGGGAAAGGGAGAAAAGGGGAGGGGGGAGAGGGCUAGGGAGAAGAGAAGGAGAGGAAAAGAGAGAAAGGGGGAGAGGAGGAGCGGUCGGGAGGGCUCCGGGAGGCGAAGGAGGGAGGGAAAGGGGGGAGGGGGCUGCAGAGCCCGAGGAGGAGGAGGAAGAGGAGAAGGUGGGACCGAGGGCUGGACGAGGGAGUGUGACGUUGCGCCGAGCGGGACCUUAUCAGCGGCGAGGCCGGGCUGGGGGUGGGGGGGUGGGGGUGGGAAGGGAGGGGAGGGGGCGGCCGGGACCAGAGCCGGAGGACCAGGGGACCGGCAGCGGAGGGCCAGCGUCGGGAGCGGAGGGCCGGGAGCGGGCGGGACCGGGAGCCGAGGGGCAGGGCCGGGCGGGAGCGGGCAGGGCGAGGCCCUCGGGGCCCGGACCGGGCGGAUGCGUUAGCCGG
rnacentral:lncRNA from 1 species